rnacentral:rRNA from 1 species
AGCACCGGCUACUCCGUGCCAGCAGCCGCGGUAAUACGGAGGGUGCGAGCGUUAAUCGGAAUUACUGGGCGUAAAGAGUGCGUAGGUGGUUGAAUAAGUUAUCUGUGAAAUCCCUGGGCUUAACCUGGGAGGGUCAGAUAAUACUGCUCGACUCGAGUAUGGGAGAGGGUAGUGGAAUUUCCGGUGUAGCGGUGAAAUGCGUAGAGAUCGGAAGGAACACCAGUGGCGAAGGCGGCUACCUGGCUCGAUACUGACACUGAGGCACGAAAGCGUGGGGAGCAAACAGGAUUAGAUACCCUGGUAGUCCACGCUGUAAACGAUGUCA